CCAUUCUCCGUCUCGAGCUCCUCGACCUCUGUCAGUACCCGAUCCGUGCCGCCUGCCCGAACUGUUUUGCAUAAUUAUGCGCAUGCGCAGAAGCUCAACGUGUUUUACGACAGUUUACGACCCUACCUGAUCUGUUCUACGCAUGCGCGACAACCGGAGUUUAAAAAUAGUGAAGAAAUGCGUCAUAUAACAACACCGGCGAACAUAUGGAGGCUAAGUAAUUUGUAUAAAGGACCAACAUGGACCAGUAUUUAUUUCAUGCUGCCCUUCGGCAGUACCUACUAAGUGGGAUGUCGAUGUCGCGGUUGACUGGAAGAGAGUCAUGCGGGUGUCCAACCACUUCGUUGUAGAUGAUUUGUCCAUGCUGAUGGCCGUGCAGCAUAGUUGAAGCAGACCUGUCAGAAAACAUCUCUAAGGCGCUAUGAAUCCUAUGACUAGCCAAAGUGGGAGGAAUUAUGAUAUUGUCAGUCUUGUCUACAUCACCAAUCCCAGGAAGUAAACUGUUGCCUACAAUCCGUGUGUUUGUUGUUGUCCAAGAAAAGAGAUUUACAUUGGAGACGAUAACUUGUGUCAUCUUUUACUUUGGGGAUACGCAUCCUAAAAUUACUAGAGGUUACGGAAGCUCCUUUUUGGAUCCAGCUUCAUUUGUGAAGACUUCAGAUGAUGUCAACACUCACAGAGACUUAAGAUGAUGGCAACAAUAGAUGAAGCAACACUCACAAAGACUUUAGAUGAUGGCAACUAUAGAUGGACAUACAAAAUUGCCAAAUAUAAUAUUGUAAUUACUGCCCCAAAGCGCAAGUUUGCAGAUUUUUAACCCACUUUAUAUUGUUACAAAUACAAUAGAUGCUAACAUUUGAACAGAAAAUGUUUCCUCUUUAUUCUUGAGUUAAUUGUGCUGAUUUAUUCCCUUUUUUUUUAUCCACAGUACUUUGCCAAAAUUAUGUUUUGCAUCAUCCAAAUGGUUCAUUUACAAAUUACAGACAUUGUAACAACACAAAGUGGGUUGAAAUUCUGCCAACUUACCCUAUAAUAAUAAUAAUUGUCUUUAACUGAACAUGACUUUAAACACAUGACUUGUAUUAUCUUAGAGCUAUUGUGAUAUUAAUAUUGUUUUGUUUCCAGAAUAUUCUCCUCAGUGAGUCACUGUUACCUCGGACUGAUUAAGGGAUUUUUUGUAACCUUGAAACAUGCAUUGGUUUUACUAUGGUCAAACUGCAGAUCUUAUUUCAAGGUUUUGUUACCAUGGUUCUACUACAGUAACAAUAUUGAAAUGCCGGAAUGAAACUGUGGUAACCAUAUUAUUUUAAAUCAUGGUAAAUUUGUGGUUACUAAAAUGCACUACUAUAUGUUGGUUUAAGAGCAUGAUUAUUUUUUAUGUAUUAAUAAACCAUGGUUGAUUUUA